rnacentral:rRNA from 1 species
UACAGAGGUCCCAAGCGUUGUUCGGAUUCAUUGGGCGUAAAGGGUGCGUAGGUGGCGUCGUAAGUCGGGUGUGAAAUCUCGGGGCUUAACUCCGAAACUGCAUUCGAUACUGCGUGCUUGAGGACUGGAGAGGAGACUGGAAUUUACGGUGUAGCAGUGAAAUGCGUAGAGAUCGUAAGGAAGACCAGUGGCGAAGGCGGGUCUCUGGACAGUUCUCGAGACACUGAGGCACGAAGGCCAGGGGAGCAAACGGG